AGUAGGGAAUCUUGCGCAAUGGGCGAAAGCCUGACGCAGCCAUGCCGCGUGAAUGAUGAAGGUCUUAGGAUUGUAAAAUUCUUUCACCGGGGACGAUAAUGACGGUACCCGGAGAAGAAGCCCCGGCUAACUUCGUGCCAGCAGCCGCGGUAAUACGAAGGGGGCUAGCGUUGCUCGGAAUUACUGGGCGUAAAGGGCGCGUAGGCGGACAGUUUAGUCAGAGGUGAAAGCCCAGGGCUCAACCUUGGAAUUGCCUUUGAUACUGGCUGUCUUGAGUAUGGAAGAGGUAUGUGGAACUCCGAGUGUAGAGGUGAAAUUCGUAGAUAUUCGGAAGAACACCAGUGGCGAAGGCGACAUACUGGUCCAUUACUGACGCUGAGGCGCGAAAGCGUGGGGAGCAAA
rnacentral:rRNA from 1 species